rnacentral:rRNA from 1 species
AUUGAACGCUGGCGGCAUGCCUUACACAUGCAAGUCGAACGGCAGCACGGGUGCUUGCACCUGGUGGCGAGUGGCGAACGGGUGAGUAAUACAUCGGAACGUACCUUAUCGUGGGGGAUAACGCAGCGAAAGCUGUGCUAAUACCGCAUACGCCCUGAGGGGGAAAGCGGGGGAUCGAAAGACCUCGCGCGAUUAGAGCGGCCGAUGCCUGAUUAGCUUGUUGGUGGGGUAAAAGCCGACCAAGGCGACGAUCAGUAGCUGGGCUGAGAGGAGGAUAAGCCACACUGGGACGGAGACACGGCCCAGACUCCUACGGGAGGCAGCAGUGGGGAAUUUUGGACAAUGGGGGCAACCCUGAUCCAGCAAUGCCGCGUGAGUGAAGAAGGCCUUCGGGUUGUAAAGCUCUUUUGUCAGGGAAGAAACACCGGCUCUAACACAGUCCGGGAAUGACGGUACCUGAAGAAUAAGCACCGGCUAACUACGUGCCAGCCGCCGCAGUAA